AGCUCUGAUCCGGAAUCCAACUGGUUUCAGGGGGUUCGCACUGGGAGGAACUAGAGUCAAACUGGUUUUGGGAACUCGGGCAGCCUGAGCCGAGCACGAGGGAAGGAGGCGGCGCGGGAGGGGCUGGGCGGAUGCAGGAGCCGCCCGGGGAGCGGAAGCCUUGGCUCGCACUCCUCCCUGCCCCCCGCUCCCCCCCCGGCCUGCACCCCCCCAGACCCGUCCCCCGUCCCCCCCCCCGGGCAGGGGUGCACCCCCCCCGGGCUGCCCCAUCCAUCCACCCUGCCGGGGCGGGGUCCCAGCGCUGCUCCGUCCCUUCCCCAUCCCGGGGGGAUCCGAGCAGCGCCCCUCGGCCCGGCCCGGCCCCCUCUUCUCCUCUCCCCCGACCCCGGCCCGCACACCCCGCUGCCCCCCGACCUUCACGAACAGCUCCACGGGCGGCGGCUCCGGCUCGGCCAUGGCUGCACCCAAGGGCCCCCCCGCCCCGCCCCGCCCGGACGCCCGGGUCCCCUCCCCGCGGGGCGGGGCGGGGCGGGGGGCAGCCCGGCUUCCUGAGUGGGGGGGUGGGGGCAGGGUGCCUGGAUCUUUUGGGGGAGGGGACUCAGACGCCUGGGUGUCCUGGGGGGGGGGGCAGCAGGGCACCUGGGCGGGGGGGGCGGGGAGGCGAGGGGACCCCCGGCUUCUCCGGGGACAGGUGGGCACUUGCGUGCUCUGGGCGGGGUGGCGCGGGGCGGGCGGGGACGGCAACCAGCGCCACAAGCCGCCGCGGGACGGAGACUGGGCCGGCUCGGGCGGGGCCGCGAUCGUCCCCUGGUCCUGGGGCGCGUGCGGGCGGGAGACACGCGCGGGCGGGACACCGGGAGUUUCACUCCCCCAGCCUCGGCCGGAGAACCGGGGCGUCCGGGCUCCGUCACCGCCCCCCCACCCCCCCAAGCCGGGCGUCCGCGUACUCUGUAAACGCGCCCCCCGCCGGUGCCCCUCGCUCCCGACCCCCCCCGCGGGGAUUAGUGCCCUUUGUGCCUCGGCGCCGGGCUCAGCACUGGGGGGGAGGGGGGCGCGAGUCCGGCGGACCCGGCAGCAGCGCCACGUGCCCAUGGCCGCGCGGGGCUACACCGUGCUCAUCCUGCCCCUGGGCAGCGCCCUGGGCAGCUGGGACGCGCUGCGGGGCUUCCUGCGGGUGAGUGCCCUGACCCCCCGGCCCCGGCGUCCGGGCUCUCCACCCCCCUAAAGCCGCCCUCCCCGAAAGGAUCCACGUGUCCUAGCACCCCCCGGCCCCAAGGGACCCAGGUGUCAUAACUCCCCCCGAGGGACCCGAGCUCCCAGCCCCGCAGGGGACGCAGGUGUCCUGACACCGCCCAUCCCAUCCCAUCCUUUCCCCUCCCCCAGCUGCGGCGGCUGCAGGGGCUGGAGCGGGAGCGAGACGCGCUGCUGCAGGGACUCGAACUCGCGGAGCGGCUUCGCGCCUGGUGCCAGCGCCACCUGCAGGCUGCCCAGCGCCGCCGCCGCCACGCCCAGCGCGCAGGCGCGGACUAUUUGGGAGACUCCGGCUCCGACCACAGCUGCCUCCUGCUGGCCAAGAUCCAGGAGGUGAAUCAGUGCCUCGAGAAACUCUUUGCUGGGGCCAGAAAGGGCAGCACCCCCCCAUGCUCCCACCAGGACCAGGCCCGGGACCCCCCUGUCCCACUGUGGAAGAGGCUGGAGUUUCAGCAGCAAACGCUGUCGGUGCUGCGAGAGCAGAACCGCUUGCUCAUCAAGGUGAGGAGGCUGCAGGGGGCAGAGGACACCAAAGCAGCCGACCAGGUUGCUGCCGUGGGUCCGUCCAUGGCCAACUCCAUUGUGGAGCUGGGCCCAGGAUGGCCCACGGGGCCGCUGUGGCCAACCCAAGAUGGCUGCCAGGCCCCGUGGCCAGCUGGGCCAGGAUGGCCGACUGCUGCCAACUGUGUGGUGCCCCCGUGGGCGUUAUGCGCUGGGCGAGGCCUCUGUUCGCAAUGGCCAAAUCUUGAGGCAGCUGCUGCGGGUGGGCCCCUGACGUGGCCGAUACCCCAUGGUAGGGCUGCUUGAGGUGGGGGUGACAAAUGGCUGCACCAACGGGUCUGUUUGGGAGCCGGCGAUGGGGGAGGCCAGGUUCAAGAUGGCUGCUGGCACCGGGCCCUAGGCCUGGGGGGGAUGGUACCCCGGGGAAGGACGGGCUGUUGGUAGUGAGACAAGGUGGAUGCCGGAGAAGCCAGCCUUGCCCAACAGCACCCAGAUGGCUGUUAGGGCAGUGGGUUCAAGAUGGCCACUUUGCUGGCGGCACAAAGUACACCCCAGCGAAUUGCACAAUUAUGCUCCCGUGUAAUAAUGUGCAUACAACAUACGACCACGCAUAAUUGCAUUAUAUUGCAUAAUUUAAUCUGGGCAGGCUCUGUGCCUCUGGGGCUCCUGGCACCACGAGCGGUGCUGCGCAACUGGACGGCGGGGAGGGGAGCUCCUGCCUGCUGCGGGGGGCAUUGCACCCCCCUGCUGUUGGCAGCAGUGGCAGGUCCAAGAUGGCCACCUCUCCCCCUGCCCUGCUAAGCCAGCCUCGUGAAAGCCUGCCUUACAUGGCUGACCUGGGGGGGCCUGGCCCAAGAUGGACACCCUUGCCCCCGCAACUGGGAGAUCUCUCCCCAAGGUGGCUGCUUCUUCUGGGAGGGAGACCCCGAGAUGGCUGCCCCCCAAAAGGGCCUGCCCCAGGUGGCCGCCCACUGCUAUCUCGGCUGCAGGAGGCGUCGGCCAAGAGCGAGCGCAUCGCACGGCUGGAGCGGGAGAAGGCAUUGCUGGUCCAGCUGCUCCGGGAGACCCAGGGCGGCCGCAGCACAGCCCACAGGGCGCCCAUGUUCCUCUGAGGUCACUUCCUGCUUGAUGACAUCGCGCCUGCUGAAACGGAACCCCAGCGUGGUAGCCUGUGUUGCUCAGCGAUGUCACUUCCUGCUGCUCCUGCUCAUCCUAAGGUUGCUGCCUCUGAAGUCACGUGCGCAGUGGUGUCUUCCCCCAAACUGAUGUGGUCUGCAGGAACCCAGGCAGCUGGGCCGCCCGCCUGUCCUGCUGGAGUUCGUUGCCCCACUGGGUGCCCCAGGCUUUCCCUUGCCUGGAGAACCCAGAUGCAUGGGUCCCCUCACUUCCUCAUGGCCACAUUUCCUUCUGUCCUUCUCUCAUACAAACACACAACUCCAAACAUGUGGGACACCACCCCCCCAGCAUCUGGGGCGUGUGUGUGUGUGUGCACGCGCGCACACACACACGACCCAGGCAUCCAUGACAGACACAACCCAGGCACACGAGAUGCACACAUACCCCUUUGUGCCUCUCCCUUGAACACCCUCCUCCCCAGGCCCUGAGGACCCCGCUCCUCCCAGACCAGUUUCCCAGUGUGGCCAACUGGGCGUCUGGGACACGCUUUCUAAGAUAAGAGGUAGUAUGGUAAGAGCCCGGCCCUUCACUCCUGGUGGCUGCAGCUGGCCAAUCAUCUCGGCCGCUUCCAUUCGUGCCUGGGAGACGGCAGCACUAUAAUCACAGAGUGCCUUCCUCCAAAACAGUGGUCACCAACCAGUUGAUCUCCAUCAACUGGUUGGUCAUGGAGCCUCUGAUAGUCAAUCUCAGGGUGAGGGGUGGGCACCAGAUCCUGCGGUGCCCUUUACAGACAAAAAGUGAUCUUCACCAUGAAAAGGUUGCAGACCACUGCUCCAAAGGGUUUGUUUCAGAGCCCCCCUGGCUCUCCACCCUCCUUCCACCUCUAUACAUAUAAGUAUCCAUUGAACUCUUUUUUCGUGAGAGUUGGCUUUACUGAAAACAAUCACGAGACUCCUGAUUUCCAGGUCAAAUUAACUCUGACUCAUGAUCUGAUAGAUCAAAUCUUGGGAUUUUUUCUUCUGGCAUGCGUAGAGAGUGCAAAGCUGGUAAGUCGGUGUAGGACAGGGGGUAGGGAGGUUGAUUGAGACCCCCAUGGUGAGGGAGGGAGUGGGGCAGGGGCUGUAGUGAAUGAAGCCUGGGGGCCAGGGCAAGUCAUGCAACAGCCAUGGGCAGCUGUCUGUGCGUAUCUGCCCCUCACUCCCAAGCCAUACCCCACCAGCCCUGCUGCUGCCCCCCACAGCACCCUCCAUCCUGCCAGGGUGUAGGGGGGACCCCCUCCCCAAGCUCCAAAUCCCACACCCACAGCCCCACACCUUCACAACACCCCCCCACCACACAUUUUUAAUUUAAUUUUUUAUUUAUUUUAUUAUUUAAAAACAAUACUUUUCUUUGAAAAAAUCUAGUUGGUCUAAUAAAAGAUAUCACCUCUACCAUGAGUCCCAAUUCCUUCCUCCCCACACAUACAGACUUCAAAAAUAGCAAUUCAUGAGUUACAUUCCAAAUUCCUUGAUUUUUAAGUUUGUCUCACAAUUUUUGACAUGGGCUGGCAAUUCUGUUUUAUUGAUACAUUACCGUUUUUAAGGAAUUUGAAAGCCUUCCAGUGCCUCGAUCAUGAUAAUAAAAUAAAUUCUAAAUACCUAUA